AAAGCAGGGGAUCGCAAGACCUUGCGCUCUUGGAGCGGCCGAUGUCUGAUUAGCUGGUUGGUGAGGUAAAGGCUUACCAAGGCGACGAUCAGUAGCUGGUCUGAGAGGACGACCAGCCACACUGGAACUGAGACACGGCCCAGACUCCUACGGGAGGCAGCAGUGGGGAAUUUUGGACAAUGGGGGAAACCCUGAUCCAGCCAUGCCGCGUGAGUGAAGAAGGCCUUCGGGUUGUAAAGCUCUUUCAGCCGGAACGAAACGGUCACGGCUAAUACCUGUGAUCACUGACGGUACCGGAAGAAGAAGCACCGGCUAACUACGUGCCAGCAGCCGCGGUAAUACGUAGGGUGCAAGCGUUAAUCGGAAUUACUGGGCGUAAAGCGUGCGCAGGCGGUUUUGUAAGUCAGAUGUGAAUCCCCGGGCUUAACCUGGGAACUGCGUUUGAAACUACAAAGCU
rnacentral:rRNA from 1 species